GAUGAAGAACGCAGCGAAAUGCGAUAAGUAAUGUGAAUUGCAGAAUUCAGUGAAUCAUCGAAUCUUUGAACGCACCUUGCGCCCUUUGGCUAUUCCGAAGGGCAUGCCUGUUUGAGUAUCAUGAACACCUCAACUCUCAUGGUUUGCCAUGAUGAGCUUGGACUCUGGGGGUCUUGCUGGCCUAUGGUCAGCUCCUCUCAAAUAAAUCAGCUUGCCAGUGUUUGGUGGCAUCACAGGUGUGAUAACUAUCUACGCUUGUGGUUUUCCAUCAGGUAACCUUCAGUGAUGGAGGUUCGCUGGAGCUCAUAAAUGUCCCUCCUCAGCGAGGACAGCUUUUUGAACGUUUGAUCUCAAAUCAGGUAGGACUACCCGCUGAACUUAAGCAUAUCAAUAAGCGGAGG
rnacentral:misc_RNA from 1 species